UACGUAGGGGGCAAGCGUUGUCCGGAAUCAUUGGGCGUAAAGCGCGCGUAGGCGGCCCUGUAAGUCCGUUGUGAAAGUCGAAGGCUCAACCUUCGAAAGCCGAUGGAUACUGCAGGGCUAGAGUCCGGAAGAGGCGAGUGGAAUUCCGUGGUGUAGCGGUGGAAUGCGCAGAUAUCAGGAGGAACACCAAUAGCGAAGGCAGCUCGCCGGGACGGUACUGACGCUAAGGCGCGAAAGCGUGGGGAGCGAACAGG
rnacentral:rRNA from 1 species